rnacentral:rRNA from 1 species
UACGUAGGGCGCAAGCGUUGUCCGGAUUCACUGGGUGUAAAGGGUGCGCAGGCGGAUUGGCAGGUCAGAGGUGAAAUCUCACGGCUCAACCGUGAAACUGCCUUUGAUACUGCUUAUCCUGAGUUCGGGAGAGGUUGAUGGAAUUCCAGGUGUAGCGGUGAAAUGCGUAGAUAUCUGGAAGAACACCAGUGGCGAAGGCGGUCAACUGGCCCGUAACUGACGCUCAGGCACGAAAGCGUGGGGAUCAAACAGGAUUAGAUACCCGGGUAGU